AACGCACGAGACCUGCGGACCUGCGGAGGGAUCAUUACAGAGUUUUCUAACUCCCAAACCCAUGUGAACUUACCAUUGUUGCCUCGGCGGAGCCUACCCUGUAGCUACCCUAUAAGGUGGUUACCCUGUAGCGCCCCGCCGGUGGAUUUUCAAACUCUUGUUAUUUUUAGUAAUCUGAGAGUCUUAUUUUAAAUAAGUCAAAACUUUUAGCAAUGGAUCUCUAGAUCGGAAGAGCACACG
rnacentral:misc_RNA from 1 species